AUUGAACGCUGGCGGCAUGCCUUACACAUGCAAGUCGAACGGUAACGGGCCUACGGGUGCCGAUGAGGGGCGGAGGGGAGCGGAAGAGAUCGGAACGUACCCGAUCGUGGGGGAUAACGGGGAGAAACGUUUGCUAAUACCGCAUACGACCUACGCAGGCAAACAGGGGAACGCAGGGCGUUGCGAGGACGGGCCCGCCGGUGGCAGAGUAGGUGGGUGGGGGGAUAAAGGCUUACCAAGCCGACGAUCUGUAGCGGGUCGGAGAGGAUGAUCAGCCACAUUGGAACGGAGACACGGCCCAGACUCCUACGGGAGGCAGCAGUGGGGAAUUUUGGACAAUGGGCGCAAGCCUGAUCCAGCCAUGCCGCGUGGAGGAAGAAGGCCUUCGGGUUGUAAAGUGCUUUUGUACGGAACGAAAAGCCUUCUUUUAAUACAGGGGUGUCUUGACGGUACCGUAAGAAUAAGCACCGGCUAACUACGUG
rnacentral:rRNA from 1 species